ACAGUGGAUCAUGAGGCGAUGUGAGUGGGUCUACGCAAUUUGCUAGACUCAGGAAAGUCCCCGGGCCACGACUGCAGAGAUGCAGACUCGGAAACGGGUAACUUCGAGCUGGGACUUGUCUCGUUUCCUUUGAAGCGAGGGGCUGAGACACGUGUGGAGCCUUUGCGAGUCCCGCCGAAGACAUUGGCCAAUGUCACAGUCAUUCACAUGGUCUUUCCUGACUAACAGAACGGGGCUUACGCCCUCGUGAUCCACCUUUUUCAUAUAAAUUCUGCUAAAAAGUAACAACAUAUUUUUGAGCGUUUUAUGUAUGGCCUUUCAUUCGUGUAUCAAUACUUAAUACACUAGUAAAAUGCUCUUAUAUUUGUCUUGUGACUCCGUCUUGGAAUAAAGGAUUGGGGUUUUCACAAGAUGGUUAAGAGAAGAGUUUUAGAAAUACGAAUGAUCCUCUCAGCAAUCAUGCAAAGAAUUUGAGCUUUCAAACCAUCCAAAUAGAAUAGAAAUGAGCUCUAGUUAUAGUGAUACUAUGCUUGUUCAUAUGAUACACACCCCACAUCAUCUCAAAGUUUGGUUUCGAAUCCGAAAAAAAAAGGGAAUUAGGAAAUAUUUUUUUGGACAACCCUUUGAUGAUUCACUAUGGAUAUUAGAUAGCAUUGCAUGUUCUGCAAAUUAGAGGCACAUCGAAACAGAUGAAUUGAAAAUCCUAGAAAUAUGGUGGAAUAUGUGGACUGAAUGUUUUAUAUAAACACCAAACCAAAGAGGAAGACCUGCCAUAAACCCUUAUAACUAUCAUUUUUUUAAUUGUCUGGUUAAACACCCUUCUUUUCACGGUGAGAGUUGAGAUACAUAUCAGAACAAUACACAACGGGCUAAGUAAGGAGACACAAAUCAGAACAAUAUAUACAAGUGAUAUGCAAAAGUGGGGAAGAAAACAGAGAUUUGCACAAAUGUGUAUGCAUCCCAAACAUGAUGAACAAGCUGAAAAUUUCUUCUUUUCCUUUUACAGCAUGUUUGCAGUAGGAAAAGAUUGAACUGAAAACAUGGUAUACUACUCGGCACAUUAAACAUUAGGGGCGACAAAGUGGGGGAAUCUGUCUCCACUUCCCUUAUUUGCCGAAGGAAAAUGAGACCCACCUCCUGGUAUAUAUACAGUCAAUAACAUUUUUUAUGGCUUGUUUGCUAAGAAGACAAUUCCUCAUUACAAUUAUAAAAAUAUUGUUCACACUCAAAAACUAUGCAUUUCCUUAUAAAGCUAGUAAACAGAAAUGAAAGAUCAGAAGAAGCACAACUGUAUCAGAAAUCUACACUCUCAGUACAUUAUACAUAGAGAACUCUCAAUUUCGUUGGUCUUCUAGCCAUCCUUGGAGGAUGUAGAUUUUGGAGCAGUGGUUGUUAACCACAGCAAGCUCCUCUGCACUUUCUGAAACAGCGACUUUGAUCGUGUAUUACACAAAGUGAAAGCAAUUGCAUCCAAAUACCAAUCACCUCGCCCCUUAAAACCCACAACACAGCCUCCAUCUAUCGAAAAAGUGAAUAGAGUCCCUUCUUCAACUCCAUAUGGUCCAAAGGUUCUGUGGUUGCUCUUGAAUGUCAAUGACCGAAUCACGGGGGUGCCUCCGCGAACAACUGGACAGUAGUGGCCGCUCACACUGACCAAGAACUCAUCUGGGAAUUGCAGCUUAAUCUAGGAUACAUGAAAAAACCGAACACUUUUUUAUAUUUGUUUGGAAUUUGAUGAAAUGGUGAAGCAAAGAGAAGUUUACCUCAGCUGUUUUGUUACCUCCAACUCCUCCAUGUUUUUCAGCUGUGAAAGGCUUGCCAUUCCUAUCAUAAACCACCUGAAUUGAGUCUAUGCAAUGGCCAUAAACAAGUUUGAUUUCUCUCACCCCUGUGAAGAUUCCAUCAUCCCAGCUAUUUCCACCGUUGCCUCCCCAUGGUCCCACUAUUACAUUCUUCUUCCUACUUUUUCCUUCCUACAAAAAAUCUAUUACCCUAUUGGUUUAACUAUGAAGAAACAUAUAUAGAACAUAAGCAUACCUACACAACGAUGGAAAUUUAACAACAGCAUAUGCUAAACAGGCGAUUUUCUACAUCAUGUAUUUGGACAGGACGACUAGUUCUACAGCCCAAUAUUAAAGAACAAAAAAUAUUAUAAAAUUAUAAACGACAGGGAUUCAUUGUGUUCUUUACCAUAAGGCAACUUCCAAAGGGCAACUACCAAAGGGGGCGUGUACAAGAUAUUGGAAGAAACAUCAAUACGUUAUGAUAGCGCAGCUACUGAUUGGAAUGCAAAAUGAUGUUUAUAUAAGCAACAAAUUAGUGACAAUUGAACAAUUUUAGAAGAAUAUCACUUUUGCUUUUCAAUAAGCAUAUUAAGGAAUUAUACUAGACGAAUCAGAACUACACAUAUCAAAUCGCUCAUUUCCGAUUAUAAUUUGCAAUAUAUUAGCUGGCCACCAUUGUGAGCAUGACAGAUUCUCACGGGUUAUAUUCGAUCAAGUUAAAAAUAUAUUGUGUUCCUAUAAACAAAGUAUCCACUGAACCAUAAUUUGAUAUAACAGUAAUCAAAAGGGGGAAAAAGAAAACGAAUAAAUUCCACAGUACAACUUUCUUUAAACAAUUUUCUGUCAAUCAUUUGUAAAUAAGUCUUCAUGUCUCCAUUUCAUGUUGAUGAGAAUUCCAGCACAAUCUAAGAUUAGUAAUUUGACACUCCAAUGUUGUAUACUCACUCUUCAACCAAUUAUACCACGUAGAAGUCCUUUGGUCUUCACUUACUUCAAUGUCUUCAAACUUCACAUCAUUUAGGUCUUCAAACUUGACAUCCUUCAGAAAGUGCCGCCAACAUUUAUUUUUGGAAGAACUAUAUAUGCAACAGAUUGGGUCCUCGCCUUUGUUCUUUAUCAUUUCAUACACUAGCUGCAAUUGUCAUUUUUCCAGUUGAUAAUAUCUUGCUUCAUCAUUGAUGACAUAUUUAAAUUCAACAUGAAUGUAUGUAUGAAUUGGAAACAGAAAACAAACAAACAAACAUAUCUCUGGGAAUUUACUUUCGGUGGGAGAAAUUAUAGAUAGAGUCACUGGGUGCAAUUUCCAUAACAAACUAUUCAGAGCAUCAUCAAUACAUGCUGAUGAAUUGAUAAUUUCACGGCCGAGGUCAGGCACUUGAGGCAAUGUGACAUUGUUCAAAUCUUCAUGAAUAACAAUAUUCUGGAUCAAGCAACCGGGUAAUGAAAAAUAAAUGAGGCUACAGAGUGCUUUAGAAAUGGAAAUCCAUCAAAGAAGACAACCAAAUAUGACUAGAAUGUUAAAAGAAAAGUACCUUAUUAGAAUAGAGAACCAAUUUAAAAUCCUUGAUGAUUGAACUUUUGAAUGAAUGGUGUCAUCCUAAUCCAAAUCUUGUCGCCAUGUCCAACAACUGUAUGUUCAGAUUUAGGUACAAAAGAAAGCUUGGCGAUCGGAAAGGGUGAAUCUCAACCCAGGGCAUAGUCUCACCCUUGCACACAAAAGACACAAGUGUUAGCUCGAUUGGCAAGUACACCAAUUCGUCCAAGUAGUAAUUAAAAUGCCUAUUCCAGGCCUCCUACUGUGUAAUUCUAUAAAAAAAUACACUCCAAAACAUUGUAAAUUAGUUAACUUUAGCAUCUAUUGAACAAAAACUCAAAAGAAGUUAAAUUCCUAAUGUUUUAACACAAAAGAAACAAUAAAAGAGAGAAAAAUUAGAUAAUUGCUAUGUGAUUAGGAGCCUCUACUAAAAAACACUCAAUUUCUUGCAUCCUUUUAAAGUGAACUUCUCAAGAUGAGGAUUUGAAAUAAUAAUGAUUCUACUCUUAUUGUUGGACAUACUUAAACCCACUUUUUCAAGUAAGGGAAAAUUGGAGAACUGAUUUUCACAAAAAUCACAAGUCACUUGGGUAUGCUCCAGUGUCAACCUUUUCAGAGACGUGCACCCCUCCAAACUAACCUUGCAGGGACUUGUUUUCUUGCCACAAUACCAAAAUGUGUCAAGAUUUGGAGCACUGAUCUCAACCUUCUUCAAUUGAUAGCAGUAGUGGAUUUCUGCCCUUUUGAGUCGAAUGAGAUUUGAAACAUGCAAAUGCUUCAAACCGGAGCACUUUAUGAUUCUUAAAUCCUCAAUUGAAUGACAUCUGGAAAUAAGAUUUUGAAUAAAGUUCUCAACCAAGGGAAUUUUGCGCAGAUAAAGCUUCUGAAGAUAAGGGAGCAUUAUAUUAUUGCAAGUUCCCAGUUUGCAACCACUUAACCUUAUGCCAGUCAAUGUUUUGGAAGACAAGACAGUUUGUGGUAAAGUAUAGCACUCACCAUUCUUGAUGCCAACAUGGAGAUCUAGUUCUUUGAUGUUUCUGUAGAAAGCAAUAGUUAGCCAAAGUUCCAGACAUGGGGUAUCUUCUAAUAAGUCAAAGGAGGUCAUGUGCAACACCGAUUUCCGUAUUUGCAUUUUUUUUGCAUUGCGGAUAAGUAGAGAAUUAGAUACAUAAUUUCUAAACAUCAUCUCCUUAUUACUGCUAUCUUCAGGUCCAAUUUUUGCAGCAAACUUUCUUUCAUCGAAAAUCAAAACAGAAAAAGAAUGCCACAAUUCUCUCCAUCUCUUGGACAAAACACUGGUUCGGAUUGCAAUGUUCACGAAGGUGAGAUAGAAUGUGAUGGAUGACGUGAUCAGGAAACAGCGAAAUACGAUCCAUGGAUUCAUCAACAAUUGGGUCCAUUUGAUCUGAAUCUUUUUCUUUUUCGUUUUCUUUUUCCAACAAGCUUCAUACUUUUCAUACCAAAAAAUACAGAUUAUGACCGAUUUAACGUUCAUUUUGUUUGACUAGCUAGAAACACGAAAAGGCAAUUCAUUGAGAUUAAGACGAUAAUCACUAACAAGUCACUACUUAAGACACAUAAGAACAAGAGAUGGCAAAAAAUCAACGCGUCUCAAGACACUCUAAGAAAAAGAAAGUUAAAGAAUAAGGGUUAACAUAAAAAAUUCCAUGAGAUGAAAAUGAAUUCAAUAUAUAAAACAAAAAGGUGCCGGAUUGAAGGAAUUAGAUGAAAUGAAAUUUAGGAAAUGGGGAAAGAAAGAAGGCUAUUAGGCAUACGCAUAGGCAUAGGGUAACGAAGCGGAACGUUAAACAGAGAAAAUUAGUUUGAUUGCGGGUAACGAAGCGAAACGUUAAACAUGACCAUGGCAGAGAUUACGUGAUCGCAGGGUUUUCAUUUUUCAAAACGGAGGUGUCACAGAGAAAGAAAGAACGAACGAAGGGGUUUUAAGGAAAUCGUAGUAGCAGCAGCAGCAAAACAUAGUGCGCUCUGUAUUGGGCUACUUAAUGGGCCCAUACAUGGGCCGAAGCAAGGUUUAAAAGAAAAGUUGAAGGAAUUUUAAAUAUGCUAAUUAAAUUUAGAGUUUGUUUGUCAUCCAAUCAACUUUUGAACUCUUGCGUAUCAUAUUAAUUAACAUAUUUGUGAGAAUUAUGAAGUAGUUCAAUACAACUUUCCUUUUGAACGAUAGUGUACAAAAAUUUAUUGUUGAUAACUUUUUCGAUAACAGAAUCUAUUUUUUUAAAAGUAUUUAUCAUAUAUGUUAAUUUAUAAUUAAAUAGUAAAAUAAAAUUAUUUUAUAUUGUAAUGAAUAACUUUUUUCUCUUAAAUUUAUUCAUAUAAUAUAUUUAUGAUAAAAAAAUUAUUAAAAAACACACUUUAUGGAGUGUGUGAUGCGUAAUGAUAUAUAUAUAUAUAUAUAUAUAUAUAUAUAUAUAUAUAUAUAUAUAUUGUUGAACUAUGCAUAAUGACAAUUGAACCUAUCUCAAUUAACAUAAUUCUGAAAAUAACAUCGAUUUCUUUACCACUGAAAAAAAAAAAGUGAAUAAAUUAAAAUAGUCAAGUGCUGUGACUUAGACCACCCGAUUGGACGUCAUUGGCCGCCCUUUCAAAUCGACAUGUUUAUCAUUUUCUAAAUUGCUUUUUAGAAAACCAUAUCGUACCGUCCAUACAUUUUAAUUUGUUUAUUUUCGAGGUAAAAGAAUGUAGUAGUACUCCUAAAUUGUUUUCUACACAACCAUACCAUACCGUCCAUAGUAUACAUAGUAAUUUAUUGAAAUAAUUACAGAAAAAAUAUUUAUAAAAUAUAAAGGGUUGUUUUGACUGGAAUUUAAGAUAUAAAAAAAAUUAAACCCAUCAAAUUUUAAUAGAUUAAUUUUAUUUGAAAAAUUCGAUUAGUAUAAACUGAACUAAACCAAGCCAAUUUAAAUUAGGUCGGUUUGAUUUUAGAUAUCAAGUUAGAAUUUUUUUAAAAUUUUUGUACUUGCAUAAAUUAAAUGUUACUAAUAUUUUAGUUUAUAAAUUAUACAAGAUAAGUAUUUAUUUAUAUAUAAUUAUAAUUUAUGAUAAAUAAAUGUUUAAAUUUAAAAAUUAUAUUAUUACUACAAAUUGUAAUAAAUACAUACUUUUAAAAUAUAAAUUAGUUUUUGACUUUAUAAUAAAUGAAUUUAGUUUUUAUACAAGAAUAUUUUUAAUUGUAAUGAAUACACAAUUGAAAAUCAAAUAUAAAAAUAAAAUAAAAGAAGAAUAAUUUGAGAUGAUUAAAAGAAAUAUAUUUUCUUGGCUAAUUAUGAGGAUAAUAUGCAAAGCACACACCUCCCAAAAUUAGAAGAAAGAGUGUUAUAAUUAUCUAAUUAAGAGAACAUGAGAGUAAAACUUUUACUAUCUGCAGUCAAAAAAGUUUUACCAUCCAAGUUAAAGAUUUUAAUUUACAUUACAAGAUAUAUAUGAAAUUUUAAUAUUAUUAUAGAUUGCAACUUUUAAUUUUUUUUUGCAAUACUUUAGAAAGUGAAUAAGUUCUUGAUAUUAAUAUGUUUUGAUUCUCCUAAAUUUGCGAAUCCAAAACCUCACAAAAGAAGACAUGAGAUUGAGUUCAUGAGCCGGAUCGAGUUCGUUAAUUGUUCCUCAUACAUGUGUCUAUUUAUUGUGCGGCCUCUGUUUCAGUUUAUCAUUAAGGUUAUUGUUCCCACAUUUAGGAUUGUUAAUUGUGAUGUUAUUUGGUAGCCGAAAGAGUCCAUAUUUACUUUAAUAAGUGCCUCGGUGCCAUUAGAAGAAGAUCAAGUGUGCCUAUGGACUGGUUGAAGACUUUUAACAGCUACACACCUUGGUCAUUGCUGAUUCUCAGUCUCAUUUAUUUUUUGAUUCUCUUCCUUGUUAUGCAAUGUGACUACCGCAUGACUUGUAUUUCUCAGUUACUAUUUGUUGAUUGAUUUUAGUUGUUUUGUUCAUCCCAACGUGGGAAUACAAAAUUUUCCCGCAUUCAUUUUGGAAUUAUUUUUCAUGAAUUGUGAUAUGCAUGCACAUCAGAUGCAUAGGUUCUAAUCGUGUCGUAAAUGGAUCAAAUAUUUACUCUUUUGCCCACAAAGUUUUCCUACUAUGGUAAAGGGUCCUUUUUAGUGUCAAAAUGUUUUUGUUACAAAUGAAUCGGACAUUUAUCUUUAUGUUGAAGGAUCUUCUAACGUGAUUCCUUGUCAAAUCCUUUGAUGCGUGCAUUUGAAAAUAGGGGAGAUUCCUGCAAAAGACACUCCAAGCUCAAGUCAGGAUUUGACUUAAAGUUGUUAGUGAUAUCUGUGAAUGUUUUAACAUGAAUUAGUCCUCUUACAUGAAAAGUUCACCUUUUUUAUACUGACCUUACUGGACUUAGGGUCUAUGGACUUGUAUAUCUUGAUUAUCAGGUGAAUAAUACAUUUUUUAAUCAUGCUUAAACACUUCUAAUCACAGGUCGAAUGAUACAUGUCAUCCACAUAUGUUAAAGAUCGAGACGUAUGGUACGAAAUAUGUAGAUACAUGAUAAAAAAAAUGAUUUAGAUGAAUACAUGACCGAAGGAGAUACUUGAUUUAAAUGUAUUAGGUAUCCCUUCAACCUGAAUAUUUUUUCCGAUAUAGGUUUUGUUAAAUGUUUAAAUCUUAUGUGAGUUUAAAGACUUUCAUAUCCAAUAUAACAUAUUCUAAAAAUUAAGGAUUUUUUAGAGGAAAAAUGAAUAAAUAUCACGUGUAACAAGAGAAAAUUUAAAUUGUCCGUAUGAUUUUAUUUUUUUAUUAUAUCAUUUUAUUCAUUGAUACUACUACAUAAUAUAAAGAAAAAUUCUUUAACAAAAAAAGGUGCUUUACAAAAAAAUAAAUAUAAAGAAAGGAUAAAUUCUAAAUAAUUAAAUACUACUAAAUCUUUAUUACAUUUACACUGACAAAGUCGCAGUACAUAUAAAGUAAAGUCGAUCCUGAAAAAAACAAAGUACUUUUAAAAAAAUUUCCUAACAAAAUUCUAUAAAAAUGGCUAAAAUGUUAUCAUACUUAAUAAUAUAUAUUAUAAUAUAAUAUAUGUUGUAGAAUAAGAACAACAACACUACUCCUACUGCAAAGUUUGGUGAGUUGUGUAAUUUUGUUUGUUCAUCUUGUGUUGUUCACUGUUCUUUCCCAGACCCACCUCAAAGUUGAAAGCAGCCAUGGGUUUUUUCUUGAAAUGGGUCAACUUGUUUGUCUUUUUUCAUUUCCUUGCUGCAACACCCAUCUUCUCAGAUUCCUCCUCCAGCUCAAAUGCAAUCGCCACCACCAAGUUCCUUGAUUUAGCCAAGGAUCCUCGGGUUUUUGAUUGGAUGGUUGGUAUCAGGAGGAAGAUUCAUGAGAAUCCAGAACUGGGUUAUGAGGAAUUUGAGACCAGUAAGCUGAUUAGAGCUGAAUUGGAUAAACUGGGCAUCUCAUAUAAACACCCAGUUGCAGUCACGGGUGUUGUUGGCUUCAUAGGGACUGGACUUCCUCCUUUUGUUGCAUUAAGAGCUGACAUGGAUGCUCUUCCUAUGCAGGUCUAUAUGAUUUCUAUAUAUUCUUCUUUCUUUCCAUUUACUGUUACCAUGUGCUUGUAAUUGUGUCAGGGUUCUAGCUUUUCAAUUAUUAUUAUUAUUUAUCGUUAUCCGAGUGCUGGAUCAACUGAUUUGAAGUUGUUCUAACUUAAUUAUUAGUAGGUCUCGGAUUCGAGUCCCUUGACUGUGAUAAAUACUUGAAGGAAGAACUUUCCUACAUGUGCAUGCAGUGAUUCUGCACAACUCGAACAUGAUUUCCUUCCAUGGAGGAUACCUGUAGUCUAUACCAAAAAACUUAUUAUUGUUAUGAAAUCCAUCCAUUUGAGUUUGAUUAAAAACUAAUGCUUUGCCUCUAAUCAAAUUUUCAUUAUUAGCCCUCCUACCCUUUUCCAGUUUAUGGGUUAUAUUUCUAAGAGCUACACUGUUUCGGCUAUAUUUUGUUGAUUUAUUUUGCUUCUUUAACCUUAGGAAAUGGUGGAGUGGGAGCACAAGAGUAAAGUACCUGGAAAGAUGCAUGCAUGCGGUCAUGAUGCUCAUGUUGCCAUGCUUCUUGGUGCUGCAAAGAUCCUCAAAGAGCAUGAAAAUGAGAUACGAGUAUGGUCCUUUGCUUCAUAGUUUAUACAUAUAAAACUUGUUGUUUUACUUUUUUGUUUUUUUAAAAAAAAAUGUUAUACUGCUUUCAUUUUGCCAUCUCGACAAUACUAUGAGAUUUGACUCCUCUAAAAUGAUUAGUUUCCCUUAAGGAGAAAAGUGAGACAUUUCAGCCUUUAAUGAGAAAAUCAACAGAAUAGAUAAAUUUUAACAAAUUUAUAAUUGGUCUUGCAUGCACUUGUAAAUUGUAAUACCGGCAGUUGGUUUUUUUGUUUAGCAGUUGAGAUUCCUUACUUUUCCAUCCAAGGUUGUGACUCUUCUGAUGGUUAUGUAGUUUUGCUGUUAAAAAUUUUUCUGCCUUUUCAUUUUUAUUGUAAUCAUGUCAAAGUCAAACAUGACUUCUGAUUCAGACAUUGGCAAACUGCUACCGGUUAUGACUGCUCAUUAGGCCAACUUUGUGUGUUACAAACUUUCAAUCAUCCUAUCAUCCGGCUUACAAAUUUAGUCUUAAAAACAUAAUGCAUCUGUGUGUAAUUGUAACGAAAACAUAAUCUAGAAGAAGACUGGAAAAGGAAAAUAGUUGGCCACUAUAUCAUCUACUAUUGCAAGACAGUUACUUCAGCUUACUACUUUUUUUUAAAUUGUGUUUUCCUAUUGUUUUAGUCCUCUUAUGGAUCCUUUAUAUCAUUCCUUAAUUUAUCUCUAUAGGGAACUGUUGUUCUUGUUUUUCAACCAGCAGAAGAAGGAGGUGGAGGGGCUAAGAAAAUUUUAGAUGCUGGAGUCUUGGAAAACAUCUCUGCCAUAUUCGGAUUGCAUAUUGCACCUACCUAUCCUAUAGGUGAAGUGGCCUCUAGGUCGGGUCCCAUAUUUGCAGGAAGCGGCUUCUUUGAAGCAACAAUAAAUGGCAGGGGAGGCCAUGCUGCUAUCCCUCAGCACUCUAUAGACCCAAUAUUGGCAGCUUCCAAUGUGAUUGUUAGUUUACAGCAUAUUGUUUCUCGCGAGGCCGAUCCUCUGGACUCCCAGGUAAACUUAUUUCAUUUCAAUCUUUCCCUUUCUGCCUUAGAUACUCAUCUAUUCUUGGUUUAUCCUUGCCUUACGGUCCAAGACCAUUCAGUUUGUACCAUACUUUGAAUCCAUGACUACCAGAGUGGCCAGCCUGUCUUGUAUAUGCUCAGUGGGCAUAAAAAACAACUAAUGGAAGCAGGAAAGUUAAGCUGAGUGUUAGCUAUCAAACCACUAUCAUUAGCAAUUCUUAGUUUCUCUUGCUUUCUUCGACUCACUCUUUUUUGUUAUCUACACAUGGUUUGGAAGUAUCAGUGCCACUCCCACCUUUUUGACUUUACUUAAUUUGAGACCUUACACUUUUUUAUCAUUAUGAGUCAUUAAAAGCUUCUUUGUAUGCUUGUGGGUCUUGGACAUUGAUAUGUUAUCAGAGAAUAGAGAUUCUCACAACUUAUACAAUAAUUAGUUCAACGCACACUGCCUUGCCUACCAUGUAGAUUGGUUAAACAUACUACAGUAUUAUCUCUUUAAAUGAUUAUUGAAUAUGAUAAAGCCUUGUUUCCAUAAAUAAUUCAUUUUUUAAGGAGAUAAUCUUGGUUGUCUUCCUAACAUAAAGAAUAUCCCCACAGGUCGUCACUGUAGGAAAAUUUCAGGGAGGUGGUGCUUUCAAUGUUAUUCCAGACUCUGUUGCAAUUGGUGGCACCUUCCGAGCUUUUUCAAAAGAAAGCUUCAUGCAACUGAGACAGAGGAUUGAACAGGUCUGUUGUGAGGAUUCAUUUAUACACUUGAAAACCAUUUUUUUUUCUUUGUUAACUCACAAUUAUUUAUUUGUUGCAACAAUGUGUUUUAUUCUUAUUUGUUGCUGUGCAAACUGUUAAUUGACAAACCCCAAAAUAGAUGCAUGGAUCAUGGUAGAGAUUCCGCAUAUAACAAAAUUUGUUGGGCAGUUUGCAAAGUCUUUGCGUUUAUCUCUCUUAAUGUGUACUUGUAUGGUGAAAAAGUUGCACUAGAGGAUUCAAAUAAUGGAUUACUGAAAUUCAGGGACCUAAAUUCUUGUGGGGUGUUUUUUAUUUUUUUUAAAUUGCUACUGUGCAAGCAGAUUAAUAAAUUACUGUCUGAAUAAAACGAUUCAUAAAUUACUGCCAGGUAAAUAGGGUCAAAAUCUUGCAGACUUUUUUUCUUUUGUUGUCAAACUUAUUUGGUUUGUGUUGCAACCAAGAAAUGAUUGUACUCUUGUUGUAGUUUUCACUGCAAUCCUAUUAGGGGCUAAGGCUGAUUCAUUUAUGUAGGUUAUCACUGGGCAAGCUGCAGUGCAGAGAUGCAAUGCAACGGUCAACUUUCUUGACGACGAGAAACCUUUCUUCCCUCCUACAGUAAACAAUGGUGACUUGCAUGAGUACUUUAAAAGUGUUGCUGGGAGUUUGCUUGGCGUCAAUAAUGUUAAGGACAUGCAACCAUUGAUGGGAUCUGAGGACUUUGCAUUCUAUCAAGAGGUUUUUCCGGGAUACUUCUUCCUCCUUGGAAUGGAGAAUGUCUCUAUUGAACAUCUUGAAUCUCCACACUCUCCAUAUUUCAAAAUCAAUGAGGACGCACUUCCUUAUGGAGCUGCACUUCAUGCAUCAUUAGCUAGCAGCUAUCUUCUCAAAUUAAAUCAGGACAUACCAGUAGUGGAGGGGAAACAUCACGAUGAAUUAUAGUUUACAACGCAGAUUGUUGAAAGCCCUUGUUGGGUUAUUUGUAGGUGCAAUCACGACGUAGUGAGGCAUUGGUUGGUUACAUCCUUAGUGCUAAAUGUAUUGCAUUCAAAUUAAAAUAAAUCCAUAGUGCUUCCACAUUAUAAUCAUUAACCCUGUUUAUCUAGGGUACAAAUCAAAUGGGAAAGAACAGACAACUUUUUAUUUUGAUAGUAUUUUCUACAAUUUCAAAGUCACUCAACUAUUAUAGAAUUCUACUCUAAGUUGAAAUAGAACAGAAAGACACAGUACAAUGAGAUGAUUCCUUUGCAAGAACUGUGGGGGAUAGUCUGAUGAUGGGAAUCCCAAAACAUUGAAACACCUGUUCAGCUAUGCCUAAAUUUGCCUGCUAGUCGAAUAAAAUGUGGUUUAUGUUCAAUGUCCUAGACACGUGAGCAAGGCAGUUUCUGAAAACGGCGACUUAGCUUAUAAAUAAAUUAGCAUGAUGCUGCAAUUAGCACAAGAUUCAUCCCAUAAACCAUGCGGUUAUAUGAAAAUAUUCGUGAAUAGGAAGCUGUAAAGACUUGUCUUCUAAAAUAUUCUUGAAGAAAUCCUGGUUAAUGUCAUCUGUUCCAAAGGUAGCCAGAUGAAUAUCAUCCUUUGAUUAGUCCACAAAUCCAAGGCAAUAGUGCUAGUCAACAUUUUCCGUUAGAAACUUAAGAUAGUACUGUGAGACCGUAGUAGUAUUUUUUUUAUUCUUGAUCUAGAAUUCUAAGGGCUAAAAUGUAAGAAUGGUGCUUAACCUAUUUUGGUUUUAAAUUGAUACUUAAUUUUUAAAAGUUUUAAAAUGGUUCCUUUAUUUAAUUAUUGAGAUGCUUGUCAUUUUGAAAUACUUUACAUUUUCAAUUUUCAUACAUAAUUUUAGAAUUUUUUUAAUUGAUUCAAGACAUAAAAUUUGUUUCAUUAGAUUCACAUGCGUAAUACCCUAGAUGAGUUACACUAAAAUAAGAGAGAUCCAGCUGAUGUUGUGCAGGUAUAAUACUAUACAAUUGAAUAUAAUUUAAAGGAAUUAAUUAGAAAUAUUUAUAUCAACAAGAUAACAUAUACUUUUUGGUAAUUCAUCACUUAAAAACUUCAUAGUUAAGUGUGUUUGACUUGGAGUAGUUAUAAGAUGUGUGAUCUUCUAGAAAGUUUUCUAGAAAAAACGUGUGAAUAAAACAAAGGACUACCUAAGGAGGAUUCUGACGAAUGAGGAGUUGAGUGAGGUAUCACCGUGAAGUGUCGGAUAAAGUGUGAGCCAUUAGAAGUUGAUGAUCAUGAGUGUUACAAAUGAUAUUAGAGCUGACCUCUCUUCUAAUACGGUGUGGUUCAAGGAUGAAUUAGGCGAAAGUUGGUGAGCAUGUAACACUUUGGAUGAAUCACACCAGGAAGAGAGGGAUUCAUAUUAUACAAUCGAGAAUAACUUAAAUGAAUUAAUUGACACUACCUAUACCAAUAAGAUGUACAUACUUUUUGGUAGCUCAUCACUUAAAAAAUUUCAUAAUUAAACGUGUUUGACUUAAAAUAAUUAUGAGAUGAAUGACCUUUUAAGAAAUUUAACAAAAAAACGUGUGAGUGAAAACAAAACACACAAAAAAUCUUGUGUUUGUUUGUGAGGAUAAUAUUACCUAAAGUCUUAAAAAAUAUUACCUACAAAAGAUUCUGAUCAAAUUUUGACCAACAAAGAAUUAAGUGUGAACGGUCAUAAGUUGAGUUGGGAGAAGUUCACAAUCAAGAAAGUUACAACUUAAAAAAUAUGAGGAGUAUACUUUUAAUUUGCUGUCAGUUUUUGAUUGCCCAUCUAUUUGGUCGUUUCUUGGUCACCGUAAGAGCUUGCAUCGAGGCCAUCUAUUUUUUUCAAAAUAGAUCGAACGGUCUAAAAGAACUCAGGCAUGGUACCAACCCUAUUUAAGUCAUGCAUAGUAGAAUUCAUCAAAAAAGAAAGCCAUACAAGAAAUAUUCUUUUAGCCAACAGUGGAUUUCAUACGUGAGCUACGUACCCUAAUUCUGAUCUGAGAACCAAGAACACAGAGUCUUGGGAGAAAACCCCUUACAAUCGCUGAACUUGAAAAACCCUAGCACACUAUUUCCUCUUCCGUAAACUCCACGUUUCUCCACCGCUCCAUGCCUUGUCAUUUUUCACCGCUUGUCCAGUCGGAACCUCUAGCACUAUUUCAUCUCCCUCUUCCGUAAACUCCACGUUUCUCCCGCUCCAUCACCGAAAGACAUAACGGAUCAACAAUUGCUGGAUCGUCAAGGUAUCGCACAUACUGAGAACCCAGAACCCAGAACCCUAGAGUCUUGGGAGAAAAAUCCUUACAAUCAUUGAGAAGUAGCAAGACCCUAGCACAACGAAACAGAAGGGAUUCAAUAAAUUUUCGUUUGCGCCUUUCCCAAAGUUUGAACUUCCACAUCCAUCUCGUUAAGAUUUAAUGUUAGUUUGAUGCUUUCCCGUGUUCUGAUAGUGUGUUUGAUGCGUUUUCAAUCUACCUUGCAGCUUGCAGCAAAACUAGUGCUUCAGUUUCUAACUCCUUUGCUCCGAGUAAGUUUUCUAAAUGUAUUUUCUCUUGUUACAAUUUGAUAGAACAAAUAAUUUUUUUACUAGUUAAUGAUAUUGUUAUCACAAUUUGAUAUAACAGAUCAUGGGACUAAAACUAAAAUGCGCCUAUUGUGUUCGCUUUGGGCAUAUAUGCGGGCCAGUCUGCCUGCACCGCAAUUACUUAUCCGAUCUACAUAAAGAUAUGCCUCGGCGAACAUAUGUUAUUCUCCCAUGGUGAAGCAAUUCGCAGCAUUGCUGUCGUACCCCAUCCACACAUAUCACUAAAAUGUGGGUGAAUCUCAUGGUAUGGCACAAUCACAUAUUGAGAUUGCUUAGUUAAAAAAUUCAAAUGUAAACCAUCAACGUAACAUGAGUAGCCCAACGAACAUGCACAAACCAACACUCCCCUUGCCUCCUCUGCAGUCACAUCUUGAUUUCCUAGAGAAGAUCUUAAUUAAAUUUGAAAAGAGGGAUAAUACUAACUAACCAUUGAUCUCCCGAACUCUAGGAAAUUCAAAAGUAAGAUAUAUGAGAAUUGCAUAACUCAGAAGAAAAACCAAACAUAAAAUUAUUCAUACAAAUGAAAUUAAAAAAAAAAAAAAGACAGAACGAAAGGAAAAAAGUUGUUAGGCUUGAAACAUUGGUUGUCAUAGAAUAUGCAUCAUAAAGGAAGAUAAACAAAAUUGGCGUGAUUCUAUAGAGAAAAGUGAAUUAGAGAGAAAAAUAAAGCAAGACAAAGCAAUAAUACAAUGAAAUAAUUGAUUGAAGCAUCAAAUAAUACCUUCACUCCUUCAAUAGAACAAUUCACUGACAUAAAAUUAGCGUUAUGAGCAAAAACUCAAGGCAAAGAGAGUUUCAUAAAAAGAAACAAGAGAAUGCUAGUGAUGAAUAUUGAAUAACAUUAUUUUAUAUGCAGAUGACUUAUAGGUAUCAUGGUUAUCAUGAGCAGCAAACAUAUACUGAUCGCAACGUUAAAAGUGAAUGAAUGAGUCUCUAAAUUUAAAGCCAUGAAAUCUCUUUCAUGCACAAUGACACUUUCCAACAAAAUCGACUUCGGCUAAUGUAUCCCGACAUUUCUUCCUUUCUGGUAUCACAAGACAUUAACAAAUCUUCAUCUUGAACUUUCAAGAAAAAAAAGAGGAGAAAUGAAGCACAAAAAACGGAAUAUGGAAAUAACCCCCCACAUAAUUAAUAAAACUUAUCCUUAACAAAUCAACAAAAUCAAAUGCAAAAAUAUGACAUGUAUAAUAAAUAUUGACAAAAAAGAAUUAAAUUAGUAGAAGAAGAGAAAUUUCAAGAAUCCAAACCCGUUUAAACAAUACCCAGAAGAAGAGAAGAAGAAAAAAAACAAAUAAAACACAUUCAAACGAAAGUAAUAGAAAAAAAAGAGGAAAAUAAUAAAGCGAAGCGAAGACUCACUUUAGCGAAAGAUCGAAGAUCAAAGCAUCAAAGCAGUGGGCAUUUGUAGAUCCAAAAUAUUGUAGCGAAAGAUCGAAGAUCAAAGCAUCAAAGCAGUGGGCAUUUGUAGAUCCAAAAUAUUGUAGAGUUUCAAGUCAAAACAUAAGGUGCAUGCACAUUGGAAAUUGAAUUUUUAUUAUUAAGGUUUAGGUGACUUAAAUAUAAAGUGAAAGAUUGAAUUUUACUAGAUAAACCUUAGUUGAAUGGAUGUAUUAAAAAUUAUUUUUGUUUCAACUUUCAAGAGAGCUUAUUUAUUAUAGUUGAUGACAAUCUUCACUAUAAAUAAAGAAAAAAAUUAGUGGAGAAACAUAACACACGAAGAGCGAGUGUGUGAGAAGGGAGAUUAUGAAACAAAGUCACUUUGUUGAGAGAAAAAUAUCUUUGUGUGAAAGUGUUAUCAUUUCUUGUAAUCAUUGAAUGAGGUACUCGGGUCUAUAGAGUGAUACACUAUUUGAGGUGAGUUACAAUCUUGUAAUUAUUUUUGUGAUAGUGAAAUAGUUUUUUGAAAUGAUUCCGUGAACGUAAGCAAGAGGUGUCGAACCAUGUUAAAUUUUUGUGUUUGUUAAUAUUUUUCUAUUGUGUAAUCUUUAUUGUGUUUUCACAAUCCUUUGUGUUUGUGAGUGUGAGUAAUUUUAUUUGUGAGAGCAUUGAUUAUCCAACAAAUAUUGACAAAAAAGGGAGAGGAAGAAAAGAUUGACAAACAUAUGUAAGGCUUUGAAAGAGUGAAUUAGAGGCAAAAUGUGUAAAUGAGAUCAAUUCUACAUAGAAAAAAUGUUAGGAACCACAACUAAGAGUCAACGGUUAUUCAUGGGUGGCGACAAUAUUGAUAUUGUGAUUUGUAACAUGAAUAAGAGAAGUUUGUAGUUACACACAAGUAGUUAAAGGAAAGAAUAAUAGAUGAUAAUUUUCUAAUUAAUUUAAGGAUAAAAACAUCAAAUGAAAUAUGUAUAUUAAAAGGAAAUAUUCUCUUUAUAUAUUGUUAUAGAUGUUGAAAAUAAUUUUCAUAAAAUUUUAUUUAGAUCAUUUACAAAUCACCUAGAAUAAUUUUUAGCUUCCCAUCCAGUUCCAUAGUUCUAAUGACAACCCUGGAACAAAAUAAGUGCAUAUCACAUAGCUAAAAAAAAAACUUGAGCAUGGGGCAUGACUUGAGUGACUUGGUGCACAUUAGAAUCCCCAAAUUCUAAGCACUUUGAUAUUUAGGAUAAAUAGUCACUUUUGUCUCUAAAUGUGUAAUUAAUUAAUAAAUGUAUCUCUGAAAGAUGAAAAUAUAAAAUUUAGCCCCCGAAAAUGUAAAAAGUGCGACAAAUAUAUCUGACAGUUAACUUCUAAUAAAAUAACCUACGUGACAUAGAGGGAUAAAUUUUUCAUUGAGAUGAUUGUCAAUGUGAUCAUCUCUAAUUGUCAGCAUAUGAACAUAUUUGUCAUAUAAUAUUUUUUUGAUUUUUUUUAUUCCAAUUCUGUUGAACAAUGCGUCCCUGAAAGUUGAAAAUACAAACUUUAGUUCUUGAAAGCAUGAAAGGUGCAACAAAUAUAUCCAAACAUUAAUAGUAGAUUGUGACUAAUUAUUAUAAUUUUAAAAAAAUUAUAAUGAUUGCGACAAUUUUUAACACUCGUAAAUUAAAUUGAGUCUAAAAGAAAAAAAAUACUCAUUUUAUAAAUCAUAAAUAAUUUUUUUACACUCCCAUGUUUGAUGAAAGGUUCAAGUAAAAAAAAUACUUAUUGUAAAACAUUAUAGUUAAAUUAGAUCCAUGAAUAAUUUUUAGGAAAAAUUAUAAUUGCAAUGAUACUUUUAAUUUGUAAAAAAUACUUACCUCCUUUGGAAUAAUUUUUUUAAGGUUAUGAUUUUUUAAAUGAUCAGUCAAUAAAAAAUAAUUGUGUAAGAUUUUAAAAAAAUAAUUUAAAAAUCAACAAACUUUUAUUAUUAUGAUUUGCAAUUUGAUGUAACUGCAUAUAUAAUAGACAAUCAUAUUUUAUUAUGAAAAAUUUAUAAAAAAUAAUAAUUAAAUAAAUAGUGUUUGAUUAAACAGAAACCAUAAUUUUCUUAUUAUUUUAUAAUAAUUUUUUUUCCUAUUUUGAUAGCAUUUAUUCAAGAAUUAACAUCUAAAAGAUUAAAUUUCUUUUGUAGUUAAAGAAAAGUAAGAAGAAUUCCCCAAAAUAAUAAAAAUUCACUUCCAUUGGUAAUAUUUUAUGUAUGUCUCAACCGUUGAUGAAACUUGAAAACACUCACCAGUGUGAUAUAGCUCUCCCAAAAUUUUGUUGCAAUCGUUGUAAAUUUUUUAAAAUUAUAAUAAUUAGUCAUAAUCUAUUAUUAACGUUCGGAUAUAUUUGUCGUAUUUUUUACACUUUUGGAGACUAGAUUUUAUAUUAUUUUCAUCUUUUAGGGUCGCAUUUGCUAGCAAAGUGAGAAGACGAGAAGUCAAAAAAAUAUUAUAUGACAAAUAUGUUUCUAUGCUAGUAAUUAGAGAUGACCAAACAAAUUCAUCUCUAUGUGUCAAUGUAGAUUAUUUUAUUAACAGUGGAUACGAAAGUCACAUAUAUUUAUCGUAAUUUUUACACUUUUGGAAACUAAAUUUAAUAUUUAUAUUUUUUAAACAUUUGUCAAUAAAUUAUACAUUUAUAAAGAAAAGUGAUUAUUUAACCUCAUAUUUAUUAAUGGUUAAAUUACUCAUUUGAUUCCUAUAAUUUGAUGAUUUUUACCUUUUUAGUUCUUAUAAUUUAAAAAUGAUAUUUUUAAUUCAUAUAGUUUACAUUUUAAUUAUCUUUUAGUUCUUGUAGUUUAAAAGUGUUUUUUUAGUGAUUAUAGUUUGUAUUUUAAGUCUUUUUUAAUUUUUGUAAUUUGAAAACAAUAGGAAAUAAAAAAGUAAGAAUCAUGAAUUAAAAAAAUCACUUUCAAAACUAAAGGGACUAAAAAAGAAUUAAAAUAUAAAUUAUAAUAAAAAAAACCACUUUUAAAUUAUAAAAAUUAAAAAAAUAAGAAAUAUAAAACUAUAAAGAUUAAUGAGUAAUUUAACUUUUAUUAAUUUAUGAGAGCUAAAAACCUAUCGUCCAACUCCAAUCUAACAUAUAGUUAGUUAGCUAGCUUACCUGUCCGCCGCGAAAGUGAGCAUUGGACUGCGCAGGGUGCAGAAAAGAGGGAAGAGGAGAGUGAAACCGCGAAAUGACGAGCAUUUCGUAUCUAACCAACACUCUGCUGCCACUGCACAUCCGAAGGUUUCGGCCUUCUCUAUCCACUCUCUCUUGCUCUCUGGCCUCAGAUGUGGACCCCACUCCCAAUUCCUACUUCCCCAAGCGCGGCCAAACCCUCGAACUGGUGUGCGAGUCCCUUGCCUUCAAAGGGAAGGGCCUCUGCAAGGUCACCCAAACCGGCUUCGUUGUCCUCUGCGACCGCGCCCUUCCUGGCGAACACUUCAUCGGCCGCGUCACCCGCAAAAAAGGCAAUUACGCUGAGGUCACUCACCUCUUCUCUUCUCUUCUCUUCUCUUCUCUUCACAAACACCUUUCUCUUUCUCAUUUAAUUAACUAACACACAGGUAACUAAGGUCAAGACCAUAACUCCUCCUCGUGACAUUGUCGAUGCUCCUUGUGUCUACGCUCCUUAUUGCGGCGGCUGCAAGACGCAAAACUUGUCCUACGAGGCUCAGCUCAGAGCCAAGGAGGAGCAGGUACGCGACUUGCUCAUUCACGUCGGAAAGUUUUCUCUCCAACAUCUCCAACUGCACGCCGUUCUGAAGCCCAUUGUUCCUUGUCGUAUUCAGUUUCAUUACAGGAAUAAGGUUAGUCAAUAGUCAUGCUGUCUCUGCUACUUCUUUUUUAACCAGAUAUUGGCCCGAGGAGCUGAAUGAAUGACUUGUUUUGUGUGUGUAUGCAGAUGGAAUUCUCGUUUGGUCCCCAAAGAUGGUUGCCUAAAGAAUCACUGCAAGACAGAAUCGUUGAUGAUGAUACUAAUGAAAAUUAUGCGCUGGGCUUGCAUGCUCCGGGUUUCUUUGAUAAAAUUCUAAAUGUUGACAACUGCUUACUGCAAUCUCAUCCUGCUAAUAAGGUAUGCACUGCUUUAUCCACUGCAGUGAUUUUGCAAGAUUUAGUUUUAUUUCAUUGCCUAUCAUAUCUUGGAACCUUAUUUGAUCACUUUCCUUCUGUUUUGGUUUUGACUUGAAAAUCUGAAUAGGUACUUGCAGCUGUCCAAGAAUGUUGGAGAGAUCCACAACUUGGUUUUUCUCCCUAUAAUGUUCAUUCGCACAAGGGAUUUCUUAAGCAUUUGAUGCUGAGAACGGGAAGGUAUAUAAGUUAUAUCUUGUGAUCCCACAAUUGCUUAGACACACAUGGAUACUGUAGUUCUUGUAAAUAAAUUAAAAUUUAUUUCAUUUUGCAGCAAACCGAUCAACUUGGUAGCAAAACUUGAUGUUUUGUAUGGCCAGGUCUAUACUUGAGAUUUAAAGAGUGUUUAUAAUUAUUUGUGCACAUAAAUUACACUUGUAGUUGUACCAUUCCUAUAUCUUUGAAUUUGAAGGAUACCUUGUGUUUUUUUUUAAUAUCAAUAUUAAUAUGAGUUUUGUUCCAGGGAUGUAACAACUGAUCAGCCUGAAGUUAUGGUCAACUUUGUGACCUCUUCCUACAAGCCAGAGCUGUUGAAGUUCCUAGUUGAUAAAGUUUCCGUAUUUCCUGAAGUGGUUGGUACUUAAGUUUUUUAAUUACUUUUUUUUCUUAUAAAUGUGCUUCUUCCUUAACUUUCCAAACUGUAUGCACAUAUUGAUUUUAAUACCAUUGAAGUUUCUUCUUUGCAUGAAUGAUAGGUAAGUGUCAUUAAUAAUGUAAAUACUUCUGUUGGCAACACAUCUGUUGGGGAGGAAGAAUACACUUUGUAUGGGAAAUCUAGCAUUACAGAGACCUUAAGAGGGCUUACAUUCCAAAUAUCAGCCAACUCUUUCUUUCAAACAAAUACUUAUCAGGUUUGCAAUGAGCCCAAAAAUUUUGGCAUUCUCUUUAGACCCUGUCCCAUAUUUUAUUUCUUAAAUUUAGUCAUGGUCACCUGUCAAGAAAAAAAA
rnacentral:lncRNA from 1 species